UGACACUUAAGCUAUUUUUGACAUGUGGACAAAAUGAAAAUAAAAUAAAAUAAAAAGAAAAAUAAUGUGACAUAAUAAACCCCUCCCUCCCACAUCUUCUUCCCCCUUCCCUCAUUUCCCCCACCCAGCACCGCCCCCUGCCACCAUCAUACGCCGGCGCCCGCCGCCCCCUCCCCUUCCCCCACCAUCCGCCCCCGCCACAUCCCCUAUCCGCACCUCCGUCGGACCCUCCCCCUUCCCCUACCUCGGCUCCACCACUUCCCCCUCCCCCUCCCCAGACCUGCGUCGAUCUUCUCCCUUCCUCCGAAACUCCGUCCCAUCAUCGCCUUCCUCCAGAUCUAUGCUGCCGCCGUGAGGUGUCCCUCCGCCUCAGCCGUGAGGUGUCCCUUCGUCCUCGUCGCCUACCUCCAGAUCUAUGCCGCCGUCAUUAUCUCGUUUUUGUAGGGUCUUGUGCUGGUAAAAUUAGGGCUUUGUUGGGAUUGAAGGGGGGUUUUCAGAGGGAUGGGGUUUGAGGGAGAGACGAUGGCGGCAGCUUCGUCGCGUCGCUGCUGUCGCCGAAAUUUCAGAGAUGGGAGGUCGGCGAUUGUUGAGGAAGAAGGAGAAGUGUCUGCUGUCGCCAUAAUUUCAGAGAGGGGAGGUCAGCCGAGUUUGUGAGAGAAGAAGAGAAAAUGGGUUGUUCAGUGGUGGCAGGGGGCGGCGCCGGCGAUGGUGGCGGCGAGUGGGGUGGAGGGGAAUUAGGGUUUGGGAGUGGGGGAGGUUGGGGAAGAUGAUGCGGGUGAUUUUUUUUCUUUUCUUUUUUUAAGUUUUUUUCAACAUGUCAAAAAUAGCUUAGGUGUCUAUUUCCGCCUGCCACUACAUCAAUUCUGGCUGUCACCAUGUCAUUUCCGGCGCUGACGCCAAAAAAAAAAAAUCGGUGAUCGGAUAAAAAUAAGACAAAAAUAAAAGGUUAUGUAUUUAAAAGUAAA